rnacentral:rRNA from 1 species
GAUCAUGGCUCAGAGACGCUGGCGGCGUGCCUAACACAUGCAAGUCGAGCGAGAAUUUUCGCAGCGGAAUCCUUCGGGAGGAAGCAGUGAAAGGAAAGCGGCGGACGGGUGAGUAACGCGUGAGUAACCUGCCUUCAGGAGGGGGAUAACAUUCCGAAAGGGGUGCUAAUACCGCAUGACAUUGUUUUUCUGCAUGGAAGAACAAUCAAAGAUUUAUCGCCUGAAGAUGGACUCGCGUCUGAUUAGAUAGUUGGUGGGGUAAAGGCCUACCAAGUCGACGAUCAGUAGCCGAACUGAGAGGUUGAUCGGCCACAUUGGGACUGAGACACGGCCCAGACUCCUACGGGAGGCAGCAGUGGGGGAUAUUGCGCAAUGGGGGGAACCCUGACGCAGCAACGCCGCGUGAAGGAAGAAGGUUUUCGGAUUGUAAACUCCUGUUGUUGAGGAAGAUAAUGACGGUACUCAACAAGGAAGUGACGGCUAACUACGUG